rnacentral:rRNA from 1 species
ACGGAAGGCAGCAGUGGGGAAUAUUGGGCAAUGGGCGAAAGUCUGACCCAGCAACGCCGCGUGAAGGAAGAAGGUCUUCGGAUUGUAAACUUCUUUUAUGAGGGACGAAGGACGUGACGGUACCUCAUGAAUAAGCCACGGCUAACUACGUGCCAGCAGCCGCGGUAAUACGUAGGUGGCAAGCGUUAUCCGGAUUUACUGGGUGUAAAGGGCGCGUAGGCGGGGAUGCAAGUCAGAUGUGAAAUCUAUGGGCUUAACUCAUAAACUGCAUUUGAAACUGUGUCUCUUGAGUGUCGGAGAGGUAGAUGGAAUUCCUUGUGUAGCGGUGAAAUGCGUAGAUAUAAGGAAGAACACCAGUGGCGAAGGCGAUCUACUGGACGAUAACUGACGCUGAGGCGCGAAAGCGUGGGGAGCAAACAGGAUUAGAUACCCUGGUA